UACGUAGGGGGCAAGCGUUGUCCGGAUUUAUUGGGCGUAAAGCGCUCGCAGGCGGCUCGAUGCGUCGUGCGUGAAACACCCCGGCUCAACUGGGGAGGGUCGUGCGAUACGGUCGGGCUGGAGGCCAGUAGGGGGAUGCGGAAUUCCGGGUGUAGUGGUGGAAUGCGCAGAUAUCGGGAAGAACACCCGUGGCGAAGGCGGCUCUCUGGGCCGGUACUGACGCUGAGACGCGAAAGCGUGGGGAGCGAACAGG
rnacentral:rRNA from 1 species